GAUAAUCCACGAAAAUCUUACCCUCUCUAGAUCAACCAGCUUGUGUACUGCCGUCGUAAGCACACCUCUAAAAGUACGAGUAUGCAACUAUGUCAAACUCAUAUACGUCAGGUCAAAGUGCAGCUAAUGAAAGGGGCGACGAUGGGUUACACCCUAAAUAAAGAUACGAAAUAUGGCACCAAAAGCCACAUGAAGGUGGACUUGGACGUAACAAAAAUACAAAAUUAAAAUGAAAACGAAUCUGAGACAUGCACACAUCGCCCGUCACUCUUGCCCAAAGGUGAGAUAAGUCGUAACAAAGUAGGUGUAACGGAAGUUGCACCUGU
rnacentral:rRNA from 1 species